UCGGAUAUAUCCAAAUUUUGGAUUUCGGAUAUCCGAUAUCCGAAAAAUCACUUGUUUUUCCAUUAGUAUUUCUCGAAUAUUCUCUAUGUUUCAGCCUUCUCAAAAAAAAAAAAAAAAAAAAAAAAAAAGGAUUGGAGACUGAAACCCUUAUUCCCUAAAAAGAAACCCAUUUCCCACCACUCACGCCUCUCUCUCUCUCUCCUCUCUCCUCUCAAAGUCUCAAGGCUCUCAUAUCUCAGUCAUCUCACUCCCAAAUUGAGUGCGCUCCUCUCAAAUCUCAGUCAUCUCACUCCCAAAUCGACUGCGAUGACGGCGGCUUCUCCAUUUCUUGGGUUCUUCCUCUCUCUUCCUCGUGGCUUCUUCCUCUUCAAUAAUGGAUGAUCAUGAUAUUACUGCUGAAAGUGCUGCCCCAACUAACCUGUCAAGUGAGGAUCCCUUGGCUUCAAAUGCUACUGCUGCCGAGCCUGUUGGAGAUCAAAAUCCACCACCAACAGUUUCAGCAAAAGACCUUCAACUGGGACUAGGGAUGAUGUAGGAGCUGAAAAUAAAGGUAAGAAAAAAGUCUUGGCUUUGGGAUCAUUUUGAGUUGAUAAAAAAAGGUGGGGAUAAAAUAUCAAAAUGUUUGUAUUGUCAUGUUGAUGUUUGUGGUGACUCUAAAAGUGGUACAAGUAUUAUGAAAAAUCAUCUUUCUAGGUGUAAGGAUUAUCCCCCUAAUAUUGAGCAAUCACAAAAGCUUCUUGCUUUUUCUAGUGAGCAAAGCCAACAAACUUUAGUAGAUAGUAUAGGUGAUAAUAAAAAAAUGUGAAAAGAAAGGGAAAUUAGAAUUUUGGAAGUUUAGGCAGGAGGAUGGUCGAAAAGCUUUUGCUAAAAUGUUAAUAAUGGAUAAAUUGCCAUUUAGGUUUUCUGAGUGUGAGGGUUUUCGCCUUUUUAUGUUUGUUGUUCAACCAAAUUUCAUUAUUCCCUCUCGUUUCACAGUUGCUAGAGAUUGUUAUCGUGUGUUAGGAUGAAAAAAAAUCUAAAAAGCUACUUUAGCAAGUGUUCUUCUCGUAUUUGUCUCACUACCGAUACAUGGACCUCUUGUCAAAAUUUGUCUUACAUGUGUUUAACAGCCCAUUUUAUUGAUCAUAAUUGGAACUUGCAGAAAAAAAAAAUUAAAUUUUUGUCCAAUUAGUGGCCAUUCAGGUGAGGCUAUUGGUAAAUCGAUUGAAAUGUGUUUGCUUGAGUAGGGUAUCAUCAAGGUAAUGACCAUUACCAUAGACGACAAUGCAAGUUCAAAUCAUGUAGGGGUUCAAUGUUUGAGGAGGAAGUUGCAAAGAUGGAAAGAUGGGACUAUUUUAGAUGGUAAAUUUGUGCAUAUGCGAUGUGCAGCCCACCUUCUUAAUUUGGAAGAUGAUUUGUGCAUAUACUAAUGUGUAUUUGCUUGAACUUGUGACAAUUUGGAAGAUGAUUAAAAAAAAAAGUGUGAAAGUGUUGAUAGUGGUGAGAUGUUAAUGGCCUAUGGGAUGAAGAAAAAGCAUGAAAAAUAUUGGGAAAAUGUGGAUAACAUUAACUUGAUGUUGUAUGUUGCUGUUCUGCUUGAUCCUAGACGCAAAAUGCAUUAUAUGAAGUGGGCUAUUAAUGAAAAAUAUGACUCUGUUAAGGCUGCAAAAUUGCACGAUAUGGUCAUGACUACUUUGACUUUGUUGUAUGAACAUUAUGCUUCUUUACAAAGUCAUAAUGUGCCAAAUGUUUCUGAAAAUAUUGAUUUGAGUUCAAGAGGCUUGGAAACUUGUUAUGAUUGUCAUGAUGUGGCUGAUUAUGAGCUUGAAAGGGAUAUUGGUGGACAAACGGUUUUUGAUAAAAAAAAAAAUAAUAAAAAAAAAUGGUGAGUUGGACAAGUACUUAAUGGAUGAUAGAGAGCCUAUCACGGGUAACAAUUUUGAUGCUUUGGGAUGGUGGAAAAAAGGGGUGGAGAGAUAUCCUAUUGUUGGUCUUAUGGAUAGGGAUGUAUUAGCCAUUUCGUUUCUACGGUUGCAUCCGAAUCUGCGUUUAGCACAGGUGGGAGAGUACUUGAUGUGUUUCGUAGUUCUCUUUCUUGACAUAUGGUUGAAGCUUUGAUAUGUGCACAACAUUGGAUGCGUAGUACACGUGGUCCACUAAUGAUUAAAGAAAGUAUUGAUGAUAUUCAACAAAUUGAAGAGGAGUUGUCUUCUCUUGUUGAUCCUCCCUUGGUUUUUGUCGUCCAUGAUUAUUUUCAGAAUUAGAGAGUUUUCGACUUGCGUCUCUUCUUGAUACGCAGUUUCGUCGUUGAUGAUAAUUCUUAGUAUUAGAUUUAAUGUUUAUGUAUUUUUAAUAUUUGGUGGUUUGUUUAUUUGGACUUUAAACAUUUCUUUGUUUUGUAAUGUGACAAUUAGUAUGCAAGUUCUCUAAAAUUUCUUUA